GCAGCCCAGUGGAAGCCGUCGGCUCCGAUCCGUAAUCAAACCCGUGCAGGUGACCCCGCGAGGAGGAGCCAGGCUCUCCAGAGCCUCGGGUUACACACGCCUCAGGCUUCACUGGGGGCCAGGCCCGGGCGAGGUGAUCAGCAGUUCUGAGAUACGCUGGUCAGGCUCCAGGGUCCCCAGAACUCCAGAAGGGGAGGAAACGUCCACCGACGUCUGUGUCCCCCUCCCGCUCCUUGGGUCUUGUCUCCGCUGGCUUAACCUAGAACAAUAAACCUGACCGUCUCCUCCAUGCCGUUCACUCGCUCCUGUGAGCGGGCCGUUGCUGGGGCCAGCGACUCAGUGCCCGCACCUGGCUUCCACCAGAGACCAGCCUCUUCCCCGGGGAGGGACGGUUAGGCUCCUGCACCUCCAGCCCAGGAGCCAGAGGGGAGUCUCCGUCCCUCGCCUACCUGCACACCCCCCUCAGGCUUCCCUGGUCACAGGCAAGCCAGGCCUCCUAGGGAGCGACUUUCCCACCCGAAUGACAGGUGCAGACUCCACUGCCGGUUAAACCAGAAUGCACUGUCAGCUGCUCGAGGCCACCCGGACCCGUAAGUCCUAAAGCCUUGUGUUCACGCAGUGGCACCAUGGUCCAGGCCCCGUGCCAGGCCAGCCCUGUGAUGCCGGGUUAGGUCACAUCAGCGUCAGCGAGCAGGGAUCUGCACGACACCAGCAGGGUCCCCGUUCCCCGCCGCCCGUCCGCUGCCUCUGCCGCUCCUUCCUUUGGUCAUUGCGGCGCCGCCGGGGACCGGACAGUGCCCGGGAGUCAGCCAAGAAUCUGACAGCCAGCCUUCCGGCCACACCGCAGGUGCAGGUCACGGCCGAUGGACGAGGCCACAGUCCUGGUGACACUGAGCUGCUGUCUGGGGGAGGUGAUGGCACGGUCGCUGUGCGUGUCCUCUCCCGGCCUGCCUUGCCCGUCCCGCACAGGGGUGGUCAGACGUUUUUGAAUGACUAAAAUUGUUCUGCAUGAUCGUGAGAUCAUGACCUGGGCCGAAACCAAGAGUCACCCCGAUGCCCCAAGUGUCCCAACUCUUGGUCUCCGCUCAGGUCUGGAUCCGAGGGUUGUGCGUUCAAGCUCCACUCUGGGCAUGAAGCCUACUUUAAAUUUAACCCCCCCAAAAAAAGAAAGAAAAAAAUUAGGACUUGUGGCAUCGGGACCCAAGUGAGCUGGAAGGACUGUGGUUUGGGGUUUCCCCGGAUGCAGUGAGGGAGCCAGAGGAUGGAGGGCAGGGCUGGGGGGUGGGACUCCCAACACCUCCGGGCCCACUGGGGCAGCCUGGGCGCCCUGCCAUCCACCCACAGCACAGCAGCUUAUUCUCCUAAGUGGGUAGUGAUGGCUGCUGCCUUUGGAGGUGAAGCUCCGAUGUGCGCUGGGCAUUUAUUGUAUGCCUACUGCAUGCCCAGUACAGCUAGGUAGAGCUGAGAACCAGCAUCUUAGUGGGGAGAACCGAAAACAAAGGAACUGGGGGCUGCCCCCUCCACCCCACCUCUGUCCGGCCUGCGUCCUGCUGUGGUCCCUCCCCCUCCGGAUGCCUCCUCGAGGAGCCUCCCUCCGCCCUCAGCACCGCUCCAGACUUUCCUCCUUUGCUUCUUUGUCUGCUGCUGCGUCUCCCAACUCCUAGGACUGUGCACUACGUGCAAAUUCCAUCCGGUCUCCGCCAGAGGUUUCUUUGACAACACUCCUGCCUGUGGAAAAACAGCUUGCCCCCAUCUGCCCACUGUUCUGCGCAAACAGCCCGAGAGGCAAAGUGCCUUUUCUCCAGACUCGGCUUUUGAACCGCGUAGACCAUCUGCCCGGUUCCCACAGGAGCUCAAUAAAAAUUCUAACACGUGUCCAUCUUUA